rnacentral:rRNA from 1 species
CCCUUAGAUGUUCUGGGCCGCACGCGUGCUACACUGAGUGGAUCAGCGGGUCAGGUUGCGCGAAAGCGUUUCCUAAUCUUUAAAUCCGCUCGUGAUGGGGAUUGACGGUUGCAAUUUUCUGUCAUGAACGAGGAAUACCUUGUAAGCGCGGGUCAUCAUCCCGCGCUGAAUACGUCCCUGCCCUUUGUACACACCGCCCGUCGCUCCCACCGAUUGAGUGGUCCGGUGAAGCCUCGGGAUUGUGGUUCUUGCCGCUUUAUUGUGGCGUGACCGCGAGAACUUGUCUAAACCUUAUCAUCUAGAGGAAGGUGAAGUCGUAACA